rnacentral:rRNA from 1 species
CUACGGGAGGCAGCAGUGGGGAAUCUUGCGCAAUGGGCGAAAGCCUGACGCAGCAACGCCGCGUGUGUGAUGAAGGUCUUCGGAUCGUAAAGCACUGUCGCGAGGGACGAAUAAGGCCUUGGCUAACAUCCAGGGACGAUGACGGUACCUCGAGAGGAAGCACCGGCUAACUCUGUGCCAGCAGCCGCGGUAAUACAGAGGGUGCGAGCGUUGUUCGGAAUUAUUGGGCGUAAAGCGCGUGUAGGCGGCUUAGUAAGUUGGGUGUGAAAGCCCUCGGCUUAACCGAGGAAGUGCGCCCAAAACUGCUUGGCUUGAGUACCGGAGAGGGUGGCGGAAUUCCCGGUGUAGAGGUGAAAUUCGUAGAUAUCGGGAGGAACACCAGCGGCGAAGGCGGCCACCUGGACGGAUACUGACGCUGAGACGCGAAAGCGUGGGGAGCAAACAGGAUUAGAUACCCUGGUAGA